rnacentral:rRNA from 1 species
AUUGAACGCUGGCGGCAUGCUUUACACAUGCAAGUCGAACGGUAACAGGCCGCAAGGUGCUGACGAGUGGCGAACGGGUGAGUAAUGCAUCGGAACGUGCCCAGUCGUGGGGGAUAACGCAGCGAAAGCUGCGCUAAUACCGCAUACGAUCUCUGGAUGAAAGCGGGGGACCGAAAGGCCUCGCGCGAUUGGAGCGGCCGAUGUCAGAGUAGGUAGUUGGUGGGGUAAAGGCCCACCAAGCCAACGAUCUGUAGCUGGUCUGAGAGGACGACCAGCCACACUGGGACUGGGACACGGCCCAGACUCCUACGGGAGGCAGCAGUGGGGAAUUUUGGACAAUGGGCGCAAGCCUGAUCCAGCAAUGCCGCGUGCAGGAAGAAGGCCUUCGGGUUGUAAACUGCUUUUGUACGGAACGAAACGGUCCGGGUUAAUACCCUGGGCUAAUGACGGUACCGUAAGAAUAAGCACCGGCUAACUACGUGCCAGCCGCCGCAGUAA